GACGAACGCUGGCGGCGUGCUUAACACAUGCAAGUCGAACGGAAAGGCCCUGCUUUUGUGGGGUGCUCGAGUGGCGAACGGGUGAGUAACACGUGAGUAACCUGUCCUUGACUUUGGGGUAUAUUCAGGAAACUGGGGCUAAUACCGGAUAGGAGCUCCUGCUGCAUGGUGGGGGUUGGAAAGUUUCGGCGGUUGGGGAUGGUCUCGCGGCUUAUCAGCUUGUUGGUGGGGUAGUGGCUUACCAAGGCUUUGACGGGUAGCCGGCCUGAGAGGGUGAACGGCCACAUUGGGACUGAGAUACGGCCCAGACUCCUACGGGAGGCAGCAGUGGGGAGUAUUGCACAAUGGGCGGAAGCCUGAUGCAGCAACGCCGCGUGCGGGAUGACGGCCUUCAGGUUGUAAACCACUUUCGCCUGUGACGAAGCGUGAGUGACGGUAAUGGGUAAAGAAGCACCGGCUAACUACGUG
rnacentral:rRNA from 1 species